rnacentral:rRNA from 1 species
ACAGACGAGGAGCUUGCUCCUCUGACGUUAGCGGCGGACGGGUGAGUAACACGUGGAUAACCUACCUAUAAGACUGGGAUAACUUCGGGAAACCGGAGCUAAUACCGGAUAAUAUAUUGAACCGCAUGGUUCAAUAGUGAAAGACGGUUUUGCUGUCACUUAUAGAUGGAUCCGCGCCGCAUUAGCUAGUUGGUAAGGUAACGGCUUACCAAGGCAACGAUGCGUGGCCGACCUGAGAGGGUGAUCGGCCACACUGGAACUGAGACACGGUCCAGACUCCUACGGGAGGCAGCAGUAGGGAAUCUUCCGCAAUGGGCGAAAGCCUGACGGAGCAACGCCGCGUGAGUGAUGAAGGUCUUCGGAUCGUAAAACUCUGUUAUUAGGGAAGAACAAAUGUGUAAGUAACUAUGCACGUCUUGACGGUACCUAAUCAGAAAGCCACGGCUAACUACGUGCCAGCAGCCGCGGUAAUACGUAGGUGGCAAGCGUUAUCCGGAAUUAUUGGGCGUAAAGCGCGCGUAGGCGGUUUUUUAAGUCUGGUGUGAAAGCCCACGGCUCAACCGUGGAGGGUCAUUGGAAACUGGAAAACUUGAGUGCAGAAGAGGAAAGUGGAAUUCCAUGUGUAGCGGUGAAAUGCGCAGAGAUAUGGAGGAACACCAGUGGCGAAGGCGACUUUCUGGUCUGUAACUGACGCUGAUGUGCGAAAGCGUGGGGAUCAAACAGGAUUAGAUA